GAUGAACGCUGGCGGCGUGCUUAACACAUGCAAGUCGAACGGAUUUAUGAUGAAACCUAGUGCUUCAUAAGUUAGUGGCGGACGGGCGAGUAACGCGUGGAUAACCUGCCUUAUACCGGGGGAUAACACUAAGAAAUAGGUGCUAAUACCGCAUAAGCGCACAGAGCAGGAAGGCUUGGUGUGAAAACCUCCGGUGGCAUAACAUGGUUCCGCGUCUGAUUAGCUAGUUGGUGAGGUAAGGGCUCACCAAGGCGACGAUCAGUAGCCGGCCUGAGAGGGUGAACGGCCACAUUGGGACUGAGACACGGCCCAAACUCCGACGGGAGGCAGCAGUGGGGAAUAUUGCACAAUGGGCGAAAGCCUGAUGCAGCGACGCCGCGGGAGUGAAGAAGUAUUUCGGUAUGUAAAGCUCUAUCAGCAAGGAAGAAAAUGACGGUACUUGACUAAGAAUCCCCUGCUAACUACGUGCCAGCCGCCGCGGUAA
rnacentral:rRNA from 1 species